rnacentral:tRNA from 1 species
GACCGCGUAGCUCAGUUGGCAGAGCAUUGGGCUAGUAUGCCAAAGGUCAUAGGUUUGAUUCCCACCGUGGUCA